rnacentral:lncRNA from 1 species
UUUUUUUUUUUUUUUUUUUUACCUUUGAGAAAGAAGUACAGGAGGAGUAACUUCACCAAGAGGCUAGAAGACAGAGACUGAAGCGAAGUUGACAGAAAUGGCCAAAGGACUUUAAGCACUGAUAAAUCUAGUAUUUGCUUAUUUUUUUCUAGCAUCAUGGUUACCUUAACCCACUGGCAUACUCCGCAGCAUUUUAUAACGAUCACAUAGGUACAGUAACUGGGUUAUCUAGUUGGAAAAGAGACAACAUAUGUAAAACCCCAAGAUAGUCCAUAGGUUGACAUAGUACAAAAAAAAGAAGCUCGAGGAACCAGCAACCAGGAAAGCCAUCCCACUCUUACUCCUCAUGCUGCCAUGGAUAUGAAUUAAACCUGUUUCCUUUGUAGGGUCAUCAUUAGCAGAAAUCUUGGCUUUUUAUUUUAUUUUAUUUUUUUUACUUCCUGCUUUGCCAACAGGGUAUGAAGCUAAUAGUACACAGUUAAAAAAAAAAAUCUGUUUGAACUAUUUGGCCAUUUUCAUUAAUGCAGAAAGAAAAUUCAGAUGCACAGAGUGGCUGAGGUUCAGUCAGUUUUAGAAAUCUGCUCUCAGUCACUAGAGAUGUAUCUCUCAGGUACCUUAUUUCCCAAUAUAUAAUUAAACCUUUGCUCACAAUUAAUAUUUCUUGUCACUUGUCAGUGGAAACUAGAAGGAUACCUAUAAGAGACAGAAUAAGAAUACAGUGAAUAAUGGCUUUAGUGAUUUAUACGGGCAGAAAAAAACAUUUACCUUGAGAAAAAUCCAGAUGGGUGUUUUUGUUUAACACUUACUCAUAUGUCAUUUAACAUAGUUCAAUAUCAUUUUUCACUAGCUUGAUACCAUCUAGCCUCUAGUUACUUUUUUCUUUUUUCUUUUGAAGGGACCAUGUGAGUGUUUUUUUACUGAGUUUCUCUACGGAGCAGUUUAUAAGAAAAGCUAUAAGAUUAAUGAAUAUGAACUUCCUCCAGUGAUACGAGUAGAUAGAAACUGUGGGAAACAGAUCUGUAAAGAAUGCAGUACUGGCUAAUCUAGGCUGAACUUCCAAUGCUUACAGCUAGGAGAAUUCAAGGGACACUUAGUAAAUCUGUUGGAGCGAUUUAGGCUAAAGUUCCAUAAUUGCUCAAUAAUAAUAUUCAUCAUCUGCUAUUUGGAAAGCACACAAUUAGGCACUGUGGAAAGCAAAUAUGAAGAAAACACAGCCUUAUAUUUAGAGAUUGUAUCAUCUAGGGUCAAAAUCUGGUUUAUAAUCUGGGCAUUAAGUUAACAACGUCAGAAAGUGCCCUAAAUCACACUACCGAAUUCUAGGAUUCGGAGGAAGACAUGUCAUUUUCUGUGGCUUGAUCUGGGGACAUAACAUUUGAACUAGACACUGGGGUUGGGUUGGAUUUAACAGGUCAGCACAGGGAAGACGAGAAAGUGGAGAGAGAAAUCCUAGGUAGAAUGAAUGACAUGUGUCUGCCUCCAAAAAUCUCUCUUCAAUUUGCCUCUGAGCAUCACUACCCUUGUACUUACCAGGUGUCCAUUGUACUUAACAACUGUCCUUAGUAAUUGUACUUAGUGAUUGUGCUUAACAGUUACUCUUGUUACUUCCUGCUUGCCCUUAUGGCAACUGCCUCCUUAGUAGUUCUUCUUCCUUUGCUAAUAUAUUCUUUGAAAGCAUCGUCGCA